AAGUCGUAACAAGGUUUCCGUAGGUGAACCUGCGGAAGGAUCAUUAGGUUGUAGCAGGCCGUUCCGCGCGGUACCUGAAACCCUCCUUAGCCAGCGGCCGGAGUUCGGCGCAAGGGCGAAGCCCCUCGCGGGGCGGAGUCCGCCGGAAUCUCGCAAACCAUGCCUUGAAAACUGUCGGUCUGAGAGAAUGAUGAAAUUAAGCGAAAAA
rnacentral:misc_RNA from 1 species